rnacentral:lncRNA from 1 species
AAAAAAAAAUUAAAAUGUUUUUAUAUUUUUUUUCUUCUCUUUGAUGUUUUUAUAUUUUCGCAACAUUUUUAUUUUUCAUUCUACGUUAAUUUUGUAUGUUAAAAUUUGCAUGAAGUUGUCACUUGUAAACAUAAUAUCACGAGUAUUUUAGCUGAUAAUGACAAUUUCAAUUCUUAUUUUUAUAUAUCAGAUUUUUAUUCACAAAUGAAUUUGUGGAGUGAUUAGAAAAUAAAAUAAUGAUAUGAGGACGAAAGAAG